rnacentral:rRNA from 1 species
GACGAACGCUGGCGGCGUGCUUAACACAUGCAAGUCGAGCGGAAAGGCCACUUCGGUGGUACUCGAGCGGCGAACGGGUGAGUAACACGUGAGUAAUCUGCCCCUGGCUUUGGGAUAGCCACCGGAAACGGUGAUUAAUACCGGAUACGACCACUUCUCGCAUGGGAUGGUGGUGGAAAGUUUUUUCGGCCAGGGAUGUGCUCGCGGCCUAGCAGCUUGAUGGUGAGGUGAUGGCUCACCAUGGCUUCGACGGGUAGCCGGCCUGAGAGGGUGACCGGUCACACUGGGACUGAGACACGGCCCAGACUCCUACGGGAGGCAGCAGUGGGGAAUAUUGGACAAUGGGCGGAAGCCUGAUCCAGCAACGCCGCGUGAGGGAUGACGGCCUUCGGGUUGUAACCUCUUUCAGCAGGGACGAAGCGCAAGUGACGGUACCUGCAGAAGAAGCACCGGCCAACUACGUGCCAGCAGCCGCCGUAA